GUAUUUUUUUCCUAUAGAUCAAUUAUUCUCUUCAAGAUUUCAGUUUAAUAACCCAAGUGGUUAAGAAUUGGGAGAAACCUUAAAACAAAAAUAAAACCCCAAAACCUCAAUUUUCUCUCUCCUCUGAUUUUAUACCCCGUACUGUGCAUGCUCAAUUUCUCCAUUUUAGAUUCGGAAUUUGCCCAAACUUAUUGAAUCAAAGUUGUAGAUCUUCGAAAAGUUAUUGAACUUAGACCCAAAAAUCACUUGAUUUGGAGUUCGGAGCUGUGAGUUAUGGUCUUUGCAAGUUUGAUGUUGCUACCUUCAAUUCUCUCUCCUUUGUUUUUACUCCGACAAUCUGUUACCCCAAUUAUCUACAACAUGCAAUCAAAUUUUGCUCUUUAUUGCUGAAUCAAAGGGGUAGAUAACUUCGAGCUAAUGAAUUUUGGCACAAAAAUCACUUGAUUCGGAGUUUUGAGCUAUGAGUUAUGAUCUUUGUAAGUUUGGUGUUGCUACCUUCAUUUCUCUCUCCUCUGUUUUUAUUCCGACAAUCUGUUACCUCAAUUAUCUACAACAUGAAUUCCAAUUUUUCUCUUUGUUGCUGAAUCAAAUUUGUAGAUCACUUCGAGCUAAUGAAUUUGGGCACAAAAAUCGCUCAAUUCGGAGUUCGGAGCUAGGAGUUACGCCUCACACAAGUUCAGCACUGCUGCUGUACCUUGUGUUGUGCUGCUGUCGUGGUUGGCUUGUUUGCCCAUGUUGUCAUUGCUAAAUUGUUGCCUUGUUGCUGCCAUUGUUGGUAUUCUUUUCCAUAUGAAGGUCGUUGUUAGAGUAUGUAUAUGGAGAUAAUUUAUGAAGUUCGAGCUAUAGUUGGUUAUCCAGAAUGUCGAAUUAUUGAGAAUCGUGUAAAGGGUUCAUUGUUAGUGAUUUUGCAGGGUUGAUGUCGAGGUCGUGGAAUAUGAUUAUUGAUCAAGAAGAAGAGUUUUAUGUUAUGAAAUGGUGGGCUGAGGUUAAAGUUAGAUGUUUCGUUUCAAAGUAUUCGUAAUCUGUUAUUUGAUUUUCAAGUUGUUAUAUUGUGGGCCCCUGACCCACAGAUACAGGAUCGUUUUUAUAGGUUUAGUUUCCGCUGUAAAUAAAUGCAAAUUCAAGGUUUGUUAAGUGUUGAUUCUAUUUUGUGUAUCUUAAUUGUGAUUAGUUAGCAGCUCGGAAG